rnacentral:rRNA from 1 species
UACGAGGGGGGCGAGCGUUGUUCGGAAUUAUUGGGCGUAAAGGGUGCGUAGGCGGUUUGGUAAGUCUUAUGUGAAAUCUACAGGCUCAACUUGUAGUCUGCAUGAGAAACUGCCGGGCUUGAGUAUGGGAGAGGUGAGUGGAAUUCCUGGUGUAGCGGUGAGAUGCGUAGAUAUCAGGAGGAACACCUGUGGCGAAAGCGGCGACCUGGGACAAUACUGACGCUGAGGUGCGAAAGCGUGGGGAGCAAACAGG